GGAAGGGACAUAGGUCAGUGGCUGAACAUCUGCUUUGCCUGCAGAAGUUCCUGGGUCCAAUUCCCAGCAUUUCCA